ACGAGGGGAGGGAUCCAACCCCUCUUUUCCUUUUAUUGCUUUCUCUCUUUGUAUUGUUUUGCUACAAUGUGUUAUAUGUAUUUGUCUGAUUGAACUAACUUUUCUUGAUUUUUGUCUCCAUUGCAUUCAUAAGCCCUAGAAAAUAAGAGUUCUGGCAUGGUACUCUCUAGGAGCCUACCCUGUUUGAUAUGACACGUUUAAAUUCAAUACUUCGCAUUUACAGCAUAAUUACAUUUCAUUUUAGACUCACCCCGGCAUACAAAAGGGGGUUCUUCUAGGUCAUGUUUCAUUUGUAUACUGCAUAUUUAGUCGCUUUGAUAAAUUGGUAUCAUGCAUAAAUCUUAGAGGGAAUGCCAUUUAGGGAAUCCCGUUAUAGGAAUAAACCACCUUUUGUCUCGGAUAUAUAAUCCAAUGAGAUUUGCAUGUUUAUAUUUUGUGUACCAUCCAAAGGGGUAGUGCACAAGGUAAGGUAGGAUUCGAUCCUUUUUGUGUGACGGCAUUGAGAAUGAUGGAACAGUUUUUACGCAUUAGAAUAUGAGCCUUUAAUAAUCACCUUUUGGCCAUUUUAUCAGAAUUGGUAAAAAUCCCUUGCGUAAAGGACAUUAAGUUGAAGAAAUUCACAAAUUCCUCAUCGUUGAGAUGAUAAGUAUGUUAAGGCCAAAUUUUGAUUUCUGAAGGCUCAUAGACUAAUAAAUCACAUUGAAUUUUUUGAAACUACCAAUGGGCAGACAAUUCCAUCGAUUUGGAUAAAUCAUCAAUUUCAUUCAUUUCAUUUUUGUAUCUAAGAUGAUUGAAUCGAUUUUUUUUUAUAUAGAUCAUUCGACCCAUACAAUUUUGCUCAUUUUUUU
rnacentral:lncRNA from 1 species